CAGGGAAUAUUGCGCAAUGGACGAAAGUCAGACGCAGCGACGCCGCGUGGGCGAGGAAGGUCUUCGGAUUGUAAAGCCCUUUUCUGGGGGACGAGGAAGGACGGUACCCUAGGAAUAAGCGUCGGCUAACUACGUGCCAGCAGCCGCGGUAAGACGUAGGACGCGAGCGUUAUCCGGAUUUACUGGGCGUAAAGCGCCUGUAGGCGGUCGGGUAAGUCGGUUGUGAAAGCCCCGUGCUCAACGCGGGGAAGCCAAGCGAUACUGCCGGACUUGAGGGUGGCAGAGGGGAGUGGAAUUUCCGGUGUAGCGGUAAAAUGCGCAGAUAUCGGGAGGAACACCAGUGGCGAAGGCGGCUCCCUGGGCCACACCUGACGCUGAGAGGCGAAAGCUAGGGGAGCGAACA
rnacentral:rRNA from 1 species